rnacentral:rRNA from 1 species
CCAAUAGCGUAUAUUGGAGUUGUUGCAGUUAAAAAGCUCGUAGUUGAAUUUCGGGGUUAGGAGGUUGGUCAUGCCACUGGUAUGUACUGGCCUCACUGAUUCCUCCUUCCUGAUGAGCCGUAAUGCCAUUAAUUUGGUGUUGCGAGGAAUCUGGACUGUUACUUUGAACAAAUUAGAGUGUUUAAAGCAGGCUAACGCUUGAAUACAUUAGCAUGGAAUAAUGAAAUAGGACGUUCGAUCUUAUUUUGUUGGUUUCUAAGAUUGACGUAAUGAUUAAUAGGGAUAGUUGGGGGCAUUAGUAUUCAAUUGUCAGAGGUGAAAUUCUUGGAUUUAUUGAAGACUAACUACUGCGAAAGCAUUUGCCAAGGAUGUUUUCAUUAAUCAAGAACGAAAGUUAGGGGAUCGAAGACGAUCAGAUACCGUCGUAGUCUUAACCAUAAACUAUGCCGACUAGGGAUCGGAUGAUGUUAAUUUUUUAAUGACUCAUUCGGCGCCUUACG